GAGUUUGAUCCUGGCUCAGGACGAACGCUGGCGGCGCGCCUAACACAUGCAAGUCGAACGGAAUCAAGAGGAGCUUGCUUUUCUUGAUUUAGUGGCGAACGGGUGAGUAACGCGUGAGUAACCUGCCCUGGAGUGGGGGACAACAGUUGGAAACGACUGCUAAUACCGCAUAAGCCCACGGUGCCGCAUGGCACUGCGGGAAAAGGAUUUAUUCGCUUCAGGAUGGACUCGCGUCCAAUUAGCUAGUUGGUGAGGUAACGGCCCACCAAGGCGACGAUUGGUAGCCGGACUGAGAGGUUGAACGGCCACAUUGGGACUGAGACACGGCCCAGACUCCUACGGGAGGCAGCAGUGGGGGAUAUUGCACAAUGGGGGAAACCCUGAUGCAGCGACGCCGCGUGGAGGAAGAAGGUUUUCGGAUUGUAAACUCCUGUCGUUAGGGACGAUAAUGACGGUACCUAACAAGAAAGCACCGGCUAACUACGUGCCAGCAGCCGCGGUAAUUC
rnacentral:rRNA from 1 species